AUCCUGGCUCAGGGAUGAACGCUAGCUACAGGCUUAACACAUGCAAGUCGAGGGGAAACGACAUCGAAAGCUUGCUUUUGAUGGGCGUCGACCGGCGCACGGGUGAGUAACGCGUAUCCAACCUGCCCACCACUUGGGGAUAACCUUGCGAAAGUAAGACUAAUACCCAAUGAUAUCUCUAGAAGACAUCUGAAAGGGNUUAAAGAUGUAUCGGUGAUGGAUGGGGAUGCGUCUGAUUAGCUUGUUGGCGGGGUUAACGGCCCACCAAGGCGACGAUCAGUAGGGGUUCUGAGAGGAAGGUCCCCCACAUUGGAACUGAGACACGGUCCAAACUCCUACGGGAGGCAGCAGUGAGGAAUAUUGGUCAAUGGGCGAGAGCCUGAACCAGCCAAGUAGCGUGCAGGAUGACGGCCCUAUGGGUUGUAAACUGCUUUUAUAAGGGAAUAAAGUGAGUCUCGUGAGGCUUUUGCAUGUACCUUAUGAAUAAGGACCGGCUAAUUCCGUG
rnacentral:rRNA from 1 species